AUGGAUGUGGUGAAGGCGGCGCAGCUGUCGGGGCGGACGCUGGAGAAGGUGGUGGUGCACCCGCUGGUGCUGCUCAGCAUCCGCGUCGGCGGCGUGCUCCUCGGCACCUCCUCCCGCGGCAUCAUCGACGUCACCAACUCCUACGCCGUGCCGUUUCAGGAGGAUGACAAGGACCCAAGGAUCUGGUUCCUCGACCAUAAUUACCAUGAGUCUAUGUUCUCCAUGUUCAAGAGGAUCAACGAUAUGCUCUUAGAAUUUUUAUUAGAUAUGCUUGGACUUGCCAUGUCCAAGGAACAUGUCGUUGGCUGGUACAGCACUGGUCCAAAACUGAAGGAGAACGACUUGGAUGUUCAUGCAUUGUUUACCAAGGGGUUGUCCAUGGAGAAGAUCCCGCGGCGAGCUCCUCAGGGUAGGUUAUCCCACAGAUCUCCUGAAUUGAGAUGUGAAGAUGCAGAACUUCUCAAUGAAGACAUUGUUAGGACAGUACCAGAUGUGCUCCUACGUGUUGAACAAUGUUAUUUUAUAAGCGCUGCUGCGCCCACCCUCUCGAGCUCCUCUCAACUGCAGGCUUUCGGGCCUAAUCUGUCACUAUGUGGUUACGGCAAAAACUGGAUGCACCUCGUGUACAAAAUGGAAAAUCUCUUUCGAAGUAUCAGGGUUUCAUACGGAAACUCAUCUCUAUAUGACCCUGAAAAUGAAAAGCACUACAAAUGA
rnacentral:rRNA from 1 species